UGGGGAAUUUUUGACAAUGGGGGAAACCCUGAUCCAGCCAUCCCGCGUGUGCGAUGAAGGCCUUCGGGUUGUAAAGCACUUUUGGCCGGAAAGAAGCGUCAUGGGUUAAUACCCCGUGAAACUGACGGUACCUGCAGAAUAAGCACCGGCUAACUACGUGCCAGCAGCCGCGGUAAUACGUAGGGUGCAAGCGUUAAUCGGAAUUACUGGGCGUAAAGCGUGCGCAGGCGGAUCGGUAAGAAAGAUGUGAAAUCCCAGAGCUCAACUUUGGAACUUCAUUUUGAACUACCGGGCUAGAGUGUGUCGGAGGGAGGUGUAAUUCCGGGUGUAGCAGUGAAAUGCGUAGAUAUGCGGAGGAACAGCGGCGGCGAAGGCAGCCUACGGGGAUAACACUGACGCUCAUGCAAGAAAGCGUGGGGAGCAAACAGG
rnacentral:rRNA from 1 species